AAGUCGUAACAAGGUUUCCGUAGGUGAACCUGCGGAAGGAUCAUUAAUAGAGUAUACACGUCCCGACCGGGCCUCGUAAGCCCGGCCGGCUUAGUGAAACUCCACCCUCUGCAAAGAGACCUUAUAUAUCAUCCGUUUCCUCGGUGGAUUUACAUCCGCCGAUGGAUAUUUAAACUCUUGUUAAGCAUGUGUUGUCGGAGUAAUUAUCAAAUAAAUUAAAACUUUCAACAACGGAUCUCUUGGUUCCG
rnacentral:misc_RNA from 1 species